rnacentral:rRNA from 1 species
CCUACGGGAGGCAGCAGUGGGGAAUUUUGGACAAUGGGCGAAAGCCUGAUCCAGCAAUGCCGCGUGUGGGAAGAAGGCCUUCGGGUUGUAAACCACUUUUGUACGGAACGAAACGGUUCGCUUUAAUACAGUGGGCUAAUGACGGUACCGUAAGAAUAAGCACCGGCUAACUACGUGCCAGCAGCCGCGGUAAUACGUAGGGUGCGAGCGUUAAUCGGAAUUACUGGGCGUAAAGCGUGCGCAGGCGGUUAUAUAAGACAGUUGUGAAAUCCCCGGGGCUCAACCUGGGAAUUGCAUCUGUGACUGUAUAGCUAGAGUACGGUAGAGGGGGAUGGAAUUCCGCGUGUAGCAGUGAAAUGCGUAGAUAUGCGGAGGAACACCGAUGGCGAAGGCAAUCCCCUGGACCUGUACUGACGCUCAUGCACGAAAGCGUGGGGAGCAAACAGGAUUAGAUACCCUGGUAGUCCACGCCCUAAACGAUGUCAACUGGUUGUUGGGUGCAUAGUACUCAGUACGAAGACUACGCGUGAGUAGUACGCCGUCGGGAGGUACGGCCGGCGACGGUUAGGUAAACGUUAAACGGUAAAGUUAGUACGGCGUGAGACGUGCCGACGGACGACGACGAGGGAGGAGG